AUUGAACGCUGGCGGCAUGCUUUACACAUGCAAGUCGAACGGUAACGGGCCUUCGGGUGCUGACGAGUGGCGAACGGGUGAGUAAUGCAUCGGAACGUACCCAGAGGUGGGGGAUAACGCAGCGAAAGCUGUGCUAAUACCGCAUGUGAUCUGAGGAUGAAAGCGGGGGACCGAGCAGCAAUGUUUGGCCUCGCGCCUUUGGAGCGGCCGAUGUCGGAUUAGCUAGUUGGUGGGGUAAAGGCCUACCAAGGCGACGAUCCGUAGCUGGUCUGAGAGGACGACCAGCCACACUGGAACUGAGACACGGCCCAGACUCCUACGGGAGGCAGCAGUGGGGAAUUUUGGACAAUGGGCGCAAGCCUGAUCCAGCAAUGCCGCGUGCGGGAAGAAGGCCUUCGGGUUGUAAACCGCUUUUGGCAGGAACGAAACGGUGUCCGCUAAUACCGGGCGCUAAUGACGGUACCUGCAGAAUAAGCACCGGCUAACUACGUG
rnacentral:rRNA from 1 species